rnacentral:rRNA from 1 species
GACGAACGCUGGCGGCGUGCUUAACACAUGCAAGUCGAACGGAAAGGCCCUGCUUUUGUGGGGUGCUCGAGUGGCGAACGGGUGAGUAACACGUGAGUAACCUGCCCUUGACUUUGGGAUAACUUCAGGAAACUGGGGCUAAUACCGGAUAGGAGCUCCUGCUGCAUGGUGGGGGUUGGAAAGUUUCGGCGGUUGGGGAUGGACUCGCGGGUUAUCAGCUUGUUGGUGGGGUAGUGGCUUACCAAGGCUUUGAAGGGUAGCCGGCCUGAGAGGGUGACCGGCGACAUUGGGCCUGAGAUACGGCCCAGACGCCUACGGGAGGCAGCAGUGGGGAGUAUUGCACAAUGGGCGGAAGCCUGAUGCAGCGACGCCGCGUGCGUGAUGACGGCCUUCGGGUUGUAAACCGCUUUCGCCUGUGACGAAGCGUGAGUGACGGUAAUGGGUAAAGAAGCACCGGCUAACUACGUG